GGUUAAGCGACUAAGCGUACACGGUGGAUGCCCUGGCAGUCAGAGGCGAUGAAGGACGUGCUAAUCUGCGAUAAGCGUCGGUAAGGUGAUAUGAACCGUUAUAACCGGCGAUUUCCGAAUGGGGAAACCCAGUGUGUUUCGACACACUAUCAUUAACUGAAUCCAUAGGUUAAUGAGGCGAACCGGGGGAACUGAAACAUCUAAGUACCCCGAGGAAAAGAAAUCAACCGAGAUUCCCCCAGUAGCGGCGAGCGAACGGGGAGGAGCCCAGAGCCUGAAUCAGUGUGUGUGUUAGUGGAAGCGUCUGGAAAGGCGCGCGAUACAGGGUGACAGCCCCGUACACAAAAAUGCACAUGCUGUGAGCUCGAUGAGUAGGGCGGGACACGUGGUAUCCUGUCUGAAUAUGGGGGGACCAUCCUCCAAGGCUAAAUACUCCUGACUGACCGAUAGUGAACCAGUACCGUGAGGGAAAGGCGAAAAGAACCCCGGCGAGGGGAGUGAAAAAGAACCUGAAACCGUGUACGUACAAGCAGUGGGAGCACGCUUAGGCGUGUGACUGCGUACCUUUUGUAUAAUGGGUCAGCGACUUAUAUUCUGUAGCAAGGUUAACCGAAUAGGGGAGCCGAAGGGAAACCGAGUCUUAACUGGGCGUUAAGUUGCAGGGUAUAGACCCGAAACCCGGUGAUCUAGCCAUGGGCAGGUUGAAGGUUGGGUAACACUAACUGGAGGACCGAACCGACUAAUGUUGAAAAAUUAGCGGAUGACUUGUGGCUGGGGGUGAAAGGCCAAUCAAACCGGGAGAUAGCUGGUUCUCCCCGAAAGCUAUUUAGGUAGCGCCUCGUGAAUUCAUCUCCGGGGGUAGAGCACUGUUUCGGCAAGGGGGUCAUCCCGACUUACCAACCCGAUGCAAACUGCGAAUACCGGAGAAUGUUAUCACGGGAGACACACGGCGGGUGCUAACGUCCGUCGUGAAGAGGGAAACAACCCAGACCGCCAGCUAAGGUCCCAAAGUCAUGGUUAAGUGGGAAACGAUGUGGGAAGGCCCAGACAGCCAGGAUGUUGGCUUAGAAGCAGCCAUCAUUUAAAGAAAGCGUAAUAGCUCACUGGUCGAGUCGGCCUGCGCGGAAGAUGUAACGGGGCUAAACCAUGCACCGAAGCUGCGGCAGCGACGCUUAUGCGUUGUUGGGUAGGGGAGCGUUCUGUAAGCCUGUGAAGGUGUGCUGUGAGGCAUGCUGGAGGUAUCAGAAGUGCGAAUGCUGACAUAAGUAACGAUAAAGCGGGUGAAAAGCCCGCUCGCCG
rnacentral:rRNA from 1 species